rnacentral:rRNA from 1 species
GUUUCAGCCGCCGCGGUAAGACGAACCGUGCGAACGUUAUUCGGAAUCACUGGGCUUAAAGCGCGUGUAGGCGGGCCGGUACGUCGGUCGCUGAAAGCCCCCGGCUCAACCGGGGAACGGGCACCGAAACGACCAGCCUGGAGGGGGGUAGGGGGAGCCGGAACUUCCGGUGGAGCGGUGAAAUGCGUUGAGAUCGGAAGGAACGCCCGUGGCGAAAGCGGGCUCCUGGACCCCACCUGACGCUGAGACGCGAAAGCCAGGGGAGCAAACGGGAUUAGAAACCCGUGUAGUCC